rnacentral:rRNA from 1 species
UGCAUGAAGUCGGAAUUGCUAGUAAUCGCGGAUCAGCAUGCCGCGGUGAAUACGUUCCCGGGCCUUGUACACACCGCCCGUCACACCAUGGGAGCCGGUAAUACCCGAAGUCAGUAGUCCAACCACGUGAGGACGCUGCCGAAGGUAGGAUUGGCGACUGGGGUGAAGUCGUAACAAGGUAUC